GGUUGGUGCAAUGAAAUUUGAGAAAGUUGUGUUGCCGAGUUUAUUCCUUUCUCCAUUGUAUAUUGAAGUCGGAGAAAAAUAUACUUCUCUGGAGGAGUCGAUUGCAGAAAAUAGGUUAGUAUUUGUAUGGGCAAUGGGGGUAUUGGAUGGGUUAAAUGGGUCAUUGGGCGGGUAUUUUCAUUUUAGGUUAAUUAAUUGGUCAAAUCAGAGUCGUAGGACUGCGACACGUGUCACUAACUAUUCCUCUAACAGUAAAUAUAUUCUGAUUGUUGGACGAUAAGAAUAUUGAUGUACUAAAAAUAUAACGAAGAGUAUAUGCAUACCAUUUACAAUAGUACGUGGAUAUAUUUAUUCUUU
rnacentral:misc_RNA from 1 species